CUGGACAAUUGAGCCUCAGGUGCUCUAGGUCUCUCACUAACCUAGAGCUUUCCAAGUAGCCUGUGGAUCUGUCUGUCUCUGCUACCUCAGCAAUACAAACGGGGGAGCCAGUUCAAUUGCUUGGGAAAGGAAGCAACACAGACGCCCGCAAACCUUGUUUUGGGGCAUGCCAGUGAGUCUCUGCUUUCCAACUCUACCCACAGAUGACCUUGUCCUUGCCUUGACUGCUAUUCAUAUCAUUUAAGGUGAGGAAAGUGAGGUCAAGAAUGAUUUGAUGACCUGCUCAAAGUCACACAGUAAGUGGCAUGGCUUGGGUUUAAACCCAGGCAGCCUGAUUUCAGAG
rnacentral:lncRNA from 1 species